rnacentral:rRNA from 1 species
AUUGAACGCUGGCGGCAUGCCUUACACAUGCAAGUCGAACGGCAGCGGGGGAGAAGCUUGCUUUUCCUGCCGGCGAGUGGCGAACGGGUGAGUAAUACAUCGGAACGUGCCCUGUAGUGGGGGAUAACUAGUCGAAAGAUUAGCUAAUACCGCAUACGACCUGAGGGUGAAAGUGGGGGACCGCAAGGCCUCAUGUUAUAGGAGCGGCCGAUGUCUGAUUAGCUAGUUGGUGGGGUAAAGGCCUACCAAGGCGACGAUCAGUAGCUGGUCUGAGAGGACGAUCAGCCACACUGGGACUGAGACACGGCCCAGACUCCUACGGGGGGCAGCAGUGGGGAAUUUUGGACAAUGGGCGAAAGCCUGAUCCAGCAAUGCCGCGUGUGUGAAGAAGGCCUUCGGGUUGUAAAGCACUUUUGUCCGGAAAGAAAUGGCUCUGGUUAAUACCUGGGGUCGAUGACGGUACCGGAAGAAUAAGGACCGGCUAACUACGUGCCAGCCGCCGCAGUAA